AUUGAACGCUGGCGGCAGGCCUAACACAUGCAAGUCGAACGAGAGGCGGACGGGUGAACAAUGUCUGGGAAACUGCCUGAUGUAGGGGGCUAACUCCUGGAACCGGUAGCUAAUACCACUUACCACCGGAUGUUCUCAGAUGGGAUUAGCUAGUAGGUGGGGUAACGGCUCACCUAGGCGACGAUCCCUAGCUGGUCUGAGAGGAUGACCAGCCACACUGGAACUGAGACACGGCCCAGACUCCUACGGGAGGCAGCAGUGGGGAAUAUUGCACAAUGGGCGCAAGCCUGAUGCAGCCAGGCCGCGUGUAUGAAGAAGGCCUUCGGGUUGUAAAGUACUGUCAGCGGGGAGGCGUUACCCGCAGAAGAAGCACCGGCUAACUCCGUGCCAGCAGCCGCGGUAAUAC
rnacentral:rRNA from 1 species